GAUGAACGCUGGCGGCGUGCCUAAUACAUGCAAGUCGAGCGAACAGACGAGGAGCUUGCUCCUCUGACGUUAGCGGCGGACGGGUGAGUAACACGUGGAUAACCUACCUAUAAGACUGGGAUAACUUCGGGAAACCGGAGCUAAUACCGGAUAAUAUAUUGAACCGCAUGGUUCAAUAGUGAAAGACGGUUUUGCUGUCACUUAUAGAUGGAUCCGCGCCGCAUUAGCUAGUUGGUAAGGUAACGGCUUACCAAGGCAACGAUGCGUAGCCGACCCGAGAGGGGGAACGGGCACACUGGAAGUGAGACACGGUACAGACUCCUACGGGAGGCAGCAGUAGGGAAUCUUCCGAAAUGGGCGAAAGCCUGCCGGAGCAGCGCAGCGUGAGUGAUGAAGGUCUUCGGAUCGUAAAACUCUGUUAUUAGGGAAGAACAAAUGUGUAAGUAACUAUGCACGUCUUGACGGUACCUAAUCAGAAAGCCACGGCUAACUACGUG
rnacentral:rRNA from 1 species